rnacentral:rRNA from 1 species
UACGUAGGGGGCAAGCGUUGUCCGGAAUCACUGGGCGUAAAGGGCGCGUAGGUGGUGGCUUAAGCGUGCGGUGAAAGCUCGGAGCUCAACUCCGAGUCGGCCGUGCGAGCUGGGCUCACUGGAGCAUAGUAGAGGCAGGUGGAAUUCCGGGUGUAGCGGUGGAAUGCGUAGAGAUCCGGAAGAACACCGGUGGCGAAGGCGGCCUGCUGGGCUAUGGCUGACACUGAGGCGCGACAGCGUGGGGAGCAAACAGG